rnacentral:rRNA from 1 species
GCCCAGACUCCUACGGGAGGCAGCAGUGGGGAAUAUUGCACAAUGGGGGAAACCCUGAUGCAGCGACGCCGCGUGAGCGAUGAAGUAUUUCGGUAUGUAAAGCUCUAUCAGCAGGGAAGAAGAUGACGGUACCUGACUAAGAAGCCCCGGCUAACUACGUGCCAGCAGCCGCGGUAAUACGUAGGGGGCAAGCGUUAUCCGGAUUUACUGGGUGUAAAGGGAGCGUAGACGGCGAUGCAAGCCAGAUGUGAAAGCCCGGGGCUCAACCCCGGGACUGCAUUUGGAACUGUGUGGCUGGAGUGUCGGAGAGGCAGGCGGAAUUCCUAGUGUAGCGGUGAAAUGCGUAGAUAUUAGGAGGAACACCAGUGGCGAAGGCGGCCUGCUGGACGAUGACUGACGUUGAGGCUCGAAAGCGUGGGGAGCAAACAGGAUUAGAUACCCCCGUAUA